AGGGAGACAGGGCAUGGAUGUGGUGAGUUGCCAUUGGUAGGUGGGCUGGCUGGGGACAUGAUUGGUUAUUGGGGAAACAGCAUAGGCGAUUUCAUUGGUUAUAGGGAGACAGUGUGGAUGGAGAUGUGAUUGGUUAUUGGGGAAACAAAGCAUAGCAAGUUUUGAAUAGGUGUUUUUUGGCCUUGGGCUGGGGUUGAGCGCUUAGUUUGGUGCUGAAUGUAGAUCUGGGUGCAGUAGCAGAGGUAAGUGAAUUCAUGUGGAGAAGCCAGAUGCUGAGUAAUGUGCUCAGAAUAAUAACACAGUUAUCAGGUGCAAGCAGGGAUGGACGUGUCAGUUUAACUCCCGGUGAGGCAACAGGCCUUACAAUUUCCACUAUUUAUAAUCCCACUAUUUCACCAAUCUGGCUUUGGAGAUUCUGUUGAAGAGAGAUGUGUCCGUAGUAGAUCCUGUUUUUAUUCAACUCUUACUGCGGCUAGAGAGGUGGAUUGCUGGCUGCUGCCUUUUAGGUGGAAUGUAGGCUUUCAUCUCACAGACCCUGCCUUAAAUGGCCUUAGUAAGAACCGAAGUGAACCUUUUACUUUUUGUGUCUCUUCUCAGACCUAGCCUGCUUAACUCACUUGACUUGCUUGGGCCAUGUAUGGACCUGAAUUUGACCUUUGCUUGAUAGGAAGCCUUUCCCUUGAUAUAUCAGUAGCUUCUAUGGUCAAGUUAGAAUGUGAACCCUUUGACAUUAUUAUUGGAGGAAGCUGAAAGGUAUUAGGCAUGAAAUACUAAGAACACCUACAACCACUUAUCCUGACUUGAAAACGUUUUACCUUCUAAAUAUAACUGAAUCUGUGUGACUUUCUGUAAUUAGUAGAAAGGCAGACUUCUAAGAGAAGAUAAUACCAUAAGACAACUAGGGCACUUGGCUGUAGGGGACAGUAUUAGGUUUAGCAUCCUCAGGUAAAACAGGGCCGCUAAGAAAAGCAAAGUAUAGGUUGGACACAGUGGCUCAUGCCAGUAAUCCGAGCACUUUGAGAGUUUGAGGUGGGAGGACUGCUUCAUCCCAGGAGCCCGAGAUCACCCUGGGCCAUGUAGUGACACCCUUGUUUAUAAGAAAUUAAUAAUUAGCUGGGUGUGGUGACAUGCCUGUAGUCCUAGCUGCAGGAGGUUGAGGCAGGAGGAUUGCUUGAACCCAGGAGUUCAAAGUUACAACUUGAACAGCCAUAAUCAUGCCACUGUACUCCAGCCUGGGUGGUAGAGUAAGACUGUCUCAAAAAAAAAGUGUGGUAAUGAAUGACUUCAUAUUCUGCAACACAAACUGAAACGUUGGAAAAUUGUCUUUUGUGGUAGGGGGAACCAAGGGCUGGGAGCAAAGGGACUAGUCAGUCCCUUACCAAUUAAUUGCGGUCCUCUGUGUUAGAACUGAGCAUGGAGGGAUCUGAUCUUUUCAUCUGCUGUUAAUCAGAUUGCAAUGUGCAUAAUGUGUGUUGAGACUGAGAACUUUAAGCAGAUGCUUCUCCAUUAAUAUAGAUAAUUUGCAUCUUGUGGGGGGUUCUUGCUAUUUUUUUAAAAUCUGAUGCUUUUGAAAUAAGACUUUAUUUGCAACUUUGUAACUAAACUUUCUACCUUUCUCUGUACCACCUCUGAGCCUGCCUCUCAGGAUUCUGUACCUUAGAGUAGGAGCUAACAGGAAUACUGUUAUGUUGCUACCAUUUCUUCUUUCUUAUCACAAGUUGUAUUUUCCUACUUCUUUGCAUGCCAGCCAUGGAUUUUACCUUUUUUUCAUGCUGGGUGUUUUUACAUUUCUAUUAAUAUUCUUAACCUUUGUUCUGGAGUAUGGGUAAGUUACCUAGAUGCAAUUUGAUUCAUUUGAGACUUGCCUUUAAGGUUAGGCAACACCAGAGCAGCGUUUAGUCCAGGGUUAAUUUCCCCCUACUACUGAAGUAUCAGACUCGUAGGACUCUGCUUGCUGCUCCCUGAAUUAUGAGGUUUUCCAGUAUAGCUAUUCCUAGCCCUGUGUGAGCUCCAGGAAUUCUUCCCUCUGAUCCUUCCGGCUAGUUUUCUCAUAUGCAUGUACAGAUCAGUGCUCUUCUGAAUAUUUCCAGGAGACCUGCAAAUUUCCAGGGUUCUCUCUGUGCAACUCUCUACUCUCCAGUGCUCUGCAGACUUGGUCUGCCUUGACCUGACUCUGCUGUCUUUUCAACUCAGGAAAUUCACUGGGCUCUGCCUGCCUACCUUUCUUCCCUACUCUGAGGCCUGGACACUCAAAGUAGUCAGCGAGGACAGUUAUCGGGCUCACCUCACUUAUUUAUUUUUUUGUUUUUUUCUUUUUGUCACCUCACUUAUUUCACAUUCCUUAGGCAUUGCUGUCCUUUGUCGCCUGAUGUCUACUCUUUGGGAAGCCCUUGUUUCAUAUAUUUUGUCUUGUUUUUUAGUUCUAGGCAGGAGAGUAAAUCUGGUCCCUGUUACUCCAUCUUGGUUGGAAUUGAAAGUUUCUUCCAGGUACUAUUUUUUAAAUUGAGGUAACAUUCACAUAAAAUUCACCAUUUAAAAAUGUACAAUUUAGUGGGUUGAAAUACAUGCAGUAUAUGCAACUGAAACCACUGUCUGAUUUUAGAACACUUUCAUCACCCCAUGGUAUAAACCCAUGCUCAUCGAGCACUCAUUCCCUAUUUCAUUUACUUUGUAAUGUUGUCCCUGUGCCACCAGGAAGAAGUCUGAGUUGUUCAAUGUGGCUCCCAUGGCCUUGUGGUGGCUCCUUGGUGGUGUCAUUUUUUCUCCUGAUUUGCGUGGCCCACACCUGUCCAUCUCUAGUACUCCAAUGAGAUGCUUUUCUUACCAGAAGCCUUUUCUGAUACCCCAAGAUCAGGCCCUAUGUCCCCUAAAUUGCUCAAUUAGCCCCAGACCUUAGCUUUUUUCUUACACUGACCAUGCUGUAUAUGGCCCUCUCCUCAGUUACACUGGGAGCUGGAUGAGAUGCGUCCUGUGCAUGGUUGUAUUCUCUGCCCAGCAUGUGGCAGGUGCUUAGGGACUUGCUGAAAUGAGUAAAGAUGUUAUCGGUCCCUGGGGAUCCAGGUUCCUAGAGACCCAAUGGCUGCACCGUACCCACUGUUAGCAUCACACAGCAUGAGGGCCAGAGAGCCUGCCUUCAAGGUUUCCAGAGAGUGGUGGGGGCAGGCACAAGUCUAGGAGGUCAGCUUCUCCCAUCCUAGACAGCUCCUGGUCACCUGAUGAUCUGCACCCUGCCAAGCCCAAGUGUAACCUGUUUACCGCAUGAGCUGGUUUUCUUUCUUAACCAUCACCAGUUGUGUUUUGUUGACUUCUCUUCCCUUCUGGGUGUUGGGUGAUGCUGAGCAGUAUUCAGACAGAUUUCAUAGGUUUCCAAUUAAUUUUGGUUAAGAUUAAACUUUGCUUAUUUUAAAACUUGAGCUUCGAGCCUAUUUCAGGCUCUUCUCCCUCUCCCCCAGCACAGGCAAGGGCUGGGCAAAAGCCCAUGUGUAUGCUCUGCUCUCCACACACAUCCCCUCUCCCCUUCCGGCAUUAGGACCCUUGUGGGAGCUUAGUCUUGCCCCAAGCCUGGGAGGACAACUGGAGGGAGAAGAGAGUCUGCUCCUGUGACAGGCCACCUGUUGUUUAUGGGGAGUGUGCUGGCUUUGUUCUGGCUGUUGCACUCUGUACAAUGCUGGUGACCUCUGCUCAUGGGGAGGUCCUUGUGUAGCGAAUCACUCUCUCCUCCUGGGGACCCUGUCCCUCCUGAGAGUGGCAGCUCUUCCCACACCUUUCCCAAGUGGGUCUUCCUAUUGCUUGGUCUAGGCGCUGUUUGUGGUCUUUGACCUUCCAUUAUUAACCACUGGGGUCUUUUCUAUCCCCUUUAAAGACUGCAGAACCAGGAUGGGUAAAGGUUUCCUUGCAGGUCUGGGUACUCCAGCAGGUGUCCCACCAUGAGAAAUCUCUGGACCAGGAGCAGGUACCAAUCUUUAAGUUCAAGUCAGUCUCCAUAUGCCAGUGAUCCUCCUCUUCUCCCCAUAGUGCAGUGAGAAGACUGAAAAUGACAAAUACUCACAGAACACUCUCUCAAGAGCCCUCACUCUCGCCAUCUUGGUUCAGUUGGUAGCAGUUGUGCAUCUGGGGGUGAGAGGCUAUUCUCCCCUUCCUGAAGAUUCCUAUCUUUAUAUGUUCAUUUAAAAGGUUCUCAUGGCUGCAGGAAGGAUAGGAACAACUCUCCCACUAUGGACACAGCUUUUCUCUGCAGACACCCCAAAAGCAGACCACCUCAUUUAUCAGGCCUCUUUCUGCUCUUGAUGGUUGAUGCUCCGAGGGCUAACAUCUCUUGGCAAACCCAGAGCUAACUUUAGAAUAUGCUACACUUAGUGGCUUUGGGGACCUUAGCUGCAUGUGCUCAAGCAAUAGGAACAAACAAACAGCAGAUCUGUCUCUCCAUCCAGAGUAAACUUGGUUGAGGGUCGUCUUUAUCCUUGCAGUCUUCAAGUCCAGUGUCAUGUCUGGAGUAGACAAAUGAUCAGUUUGUGGAAUUCAAUCAUGGCAGGAAGAAGGAGUGCUAAGUGGCCCCCUGUAUCUCUGUGCAUAGGCUCCUGGGAGGAUUUGUGUCUACACUCCCUUCUGAAAAGGCCUCUUUUUCCUACAAGAGGGGUCUGGGACAGAUGAGCCAUUUUUUUUUUCAGAGCACAUAGUGGAACAGACCGGAGGCCCCACCUUCCUCUGCUGCUGGAGGAGUGGGAGUGGGUUUCCAUGGCAAUAGCACGCACCAGCACUCACCUCCGCUUUGCAGCCCUGCUGUAGAGGUGAGAGCUGCCUGCCUUUGGUAUGCUGCUCAGAGCCCAAGCCAGGCUGGCUCCUGGCUUCCUGCACUCUAGCAGGAAGGGACACCAGAAGGGACAGCACUAUAGGGACACUAGCCCAGAGGUAUAAGUCAGGGGCAGGACAUAUAACUACGAAGCAUCUUCACCUUGCUGGAAAGAUGAAAAGCUAGUUGAAAUUGAUCUUCUGUAUUAUUAGUUUGAAAACUGCAUGUAACUAGAGUUGUAAAACACAUCAUAUUUCAGUCUUGUAGUUAGAGGCAGAGGGUGGUAGGUGAGAUGCUGAAGGGGAGAGAGGGAAGGGCAAGCACGGAUUCAUACCUUGAAAAAGAGAGAAAGAAGGGGGAAUUAAGAAAGCAGCAAACAUAAAACCACACGGUGCUUGGUGCCUGUCGGAUACUGAGACAUUCAAUGUCCAGCCAGAAUGACACACAAAUACUCCCAGAACGCUCUCUCAAGAGCCCUCACUCUCACCACUCUUGGUUCUGUUGGUGGCACCAGCAUGGGCUUACCUGUUUCUCCUGCAACUCAGCAGGUGUGCAUCUGGGGGUGAGAGGCCAUUCUCCCCUUCCUGAAGAUUCCUAUCUUUAUAUGUUCAUGUCUGCAGGACGAAGAGGAACACCUCCCCACCAUGGACACAGCUUUUCUCUGCAGACACCCCAAAAGCAGACCACGUCAUCUAUCAGGGCUCUUUCGGCUCCUGAUGGGGCUGUUGAGUUUUAUGGGAGGGAUAUAUUCUUGAAGACCUUGCAUAAUUACCAGAAAUAUAUGUCAUUUAAGACUAAUCCUGACAGGGACGUUGCAUUUGUGUGCCAGGACUGCCAUCACAGAAUACCGCAGACUGAGGGAGCUGAAACAAUGGAUGUUUAUUUUCUUAAAUUCUGGAGGCUGGAAGUCCAUGACCAUGGUGUGGCAUGGUUGGUUCCUUCUGAGGGCUCUCUUUUUCUCUUCUAGAUGUGUUCCUGGCUUCCCACUGUGUCCUCUCACGGCCUUUCCCCUGUGUUGCCUGUGUCCUAAUCCCCUCUUCUCCUAAGGACAUCCAUCAGAUUGGAUUAGGGCCCACCCUAAUGACGCCAUUUUAACUUGAUUAUCUCUUCACUGGCCCUAUCUCCAAAUAAAGCCACAUUCUAAGGUCCUGGGGGUGAGGACUUCAACAUGAGUUUUGAGCUGGGGGGAGGGACACAAUUUAUAAUAGAUAUCAUGUGUUUCUGUUAAAGAAGCAAAAUUACAUGGCAAAAAUAUAAAUUUUAAUCUUAAACCCGAUAAAAGUGAAAUUAGAUGAUUCUUAAAACAUUCUAAAACAUUGAUAGAUUUAAAAUUUUAUGUAGAGGUGAGAUUUAGCGUUUUUUAAAAAUUGUUUCACAUUUGCAAAAUCUAAUUUUCCUCAUGCAAAAAGAAAGAAAAAUCAAUUGAAUGGCCACUAUGAGCCAUGCACUCUUCUAGGUACCAAGGAUACUGCACUGAACAAAACAGACAAAAAUCUCUGCCCUCCUCAUGAAAUUUAAAUUGUAGCCAGAAGAAACAGACUAUGUACAAAAUAGUCAAUAACAUGGUAUGCUAGAAAGUGAUAGGUGUAGUGGAAAAAAAUAAAGUGGGAAGGGAGUAUGUCCUAUGGGUGAAUUGGUAGGUGGAGGAAUUGCAGUGUUAGAGAAGUUUAGGAGGGCCUCAUUGAGAAGGUACCUUUUUUUUUUUUUUUUUGAGACGGAGUUUCGCUCUUGUUACCCAGGCUGGAGUGCAAUGGCGGGAUCUCGGCUCACCGCAACCUCCGCCUCCCGGGUUCAGGCAAUUCUCCUGCCUCAGGCUCCCGAGUAGCUGGGAUUACAGGCACGUGCCACCAUGCCCAGCUAAUUUUUUGUAUUUUUAGUAGAGAUGGGGUUUCACCAUGUUGACCAGGAUGGUCUUGAUCUCUUGACCUCGUGAUCCACCCGCCUCGGCCUCCCAAAGUGCUGGGAUUACAGGCGUGAGCCACUGUGAGAAGGUACUUUUAACAAAGAUUUGAAGAAAGUGAGAGAGACACACAGAGGACAUUCAGAACACUUGCAAGGUGCUUACAUAGAAUGUAUUUAGUAUGUUUGAGGAAUUGCAAAAAGGUCAGCAGGGUUGGAGAGUACUGAGUGAUAGGGAGAGGGGUAGGAGACAGGGCCAGAGAAGUAGGCAGAAGAUGUAUCAUGGAGGAAUUUAGGGGCUGUGAAAAUGAGUUUGGAUUUUUAGUGUAUGUCCCUGAAAGACCAAAAGAAGGGGACGGAGGAAUGUUGAGCUGGGAAUAUCGAGAGUGGUGCUUGAUCAGUAAUCAGCUACAGAGAGUUUGAAGUUUUUCGUAGUGACAAUGUCUAGGAGUUGACCAUGGAUUGGAUGGUUGAGGUAGAUGGAAGACAAGCUUAUUGGAGCAUUAUCAAGGAAUUCUGAGGUCAGUAUCUUGGAAGAAAUAGAAUAAAGGAGCAGUAGUAAAGAGAAUGGCAGUGAACUAUGGACAAAAUCUUGAAGGAGAGAUGGGAAUGACCCAGGUGUUUGCAAUGAGAUAGGCAGGGAAUGGGCCUGUUUGAUGAUAUAAGAUUCCAGCCUGAGUUUUAGGGCAGCGAGAGGGAGUGUGGUCUGGAGGCAACAUCGAGGAUCCCAGAGGACACUAUCCCAUCCCCAUACUGUCCUAGUGGGGGAUGGGGUAGAACAGGGGUCCCCUCUUCACUGAUGCUGAUGGGAAGGCCACAUGAGGGUUGGUGACCAGGGAGGGAUGGCAGCCAGGGAAGGUCCCCUCUAGAUGUGAAAUAUGAUGUCUUUUAGGAUACUGCUAUUCAUGACUCAUUUACGUAUUUUAAUAAAACACAAUGGAGUAUCACUUCUUGACACUGGGCUUCUUAGUCUAGGUGAAAUUGAGAAUUUAUAUAUAUAUAUUGCACUUUAGGUUCUGGGGUACGUGUGCAAAACAUGCAGGAUUGUUGCAUACAUACAUACAUGGCAAUGUGGUUUGCUGCCUCCAUCCCCCUGCCACCUAUAUCUUCCAUUUCUCCCCCUGUUAUCCCUCCCCAACCUCCCUACCCCCCCGCUGUCCCUCCUCUAUUCCUCCACAACAGACCCCAGUGUGUGAUGCUCCCCUCCCUGUGUCCAUAUGAGGGAGAACAUGCAGUGUUUGUUUUUCUGUUCUUGUGUCAGUUUUCUGAGAAUGAUGGUUUCCAGAUUCAUCCAUGUCCCUACAAAGAACACAAACUCAUCGUUUUUUAUGGCUGCACAGUAUUCCAUGGUUUAUGUGCCAUAUUUUCUCUGUCCAGCCUUUCAUCGAUGGGCACUUGGGUUGGUUCCAGGUCUUUGCUAUUGUAAACAGUGCCGCAAUGAACAUACGUGUGCAUAUGUCUUUAUAAAAGAACGAUUUAUAAUCCUCUGGAUAUAUACCCAGUAAUGGGAUUGCUGGGUCAAAUGGAAUUUCUAUUUCUUGGUCCUUGAGGAAUCGCCACACUGUCUUCCACAAUGGUUGAACUAAUUUACACUCCCACCAACAGUGUAAAAGUGUUCCUAUUUCUCCACAUCCUCUCCAGCAUCUGUUGUCUCCAGAUUUUUUAAUGAUCGCCAUUCUUACUGGCGUGAGAUGGUAUCUCAACAUGGUUUUGAUUUGCAUUUCUCUAAUGACCAGUGAUGAUGAGGAUUUUUUCAUAUGUUUGUUGGCCUCAUAAAUGUCUUUUGAAAAGUGUCUAUUCAUGUCCUUCACCCACUUUUGAAUGGGUUUGUUUUUUUUUUUCUUGUAAAUCUGUUUUAGUUCUUUGAAGAUUCUGGAUAUUAGCCCUUCGUCAGAUGGGUAGAUUGCAAAAAUUUUUUCCCAUUCUGUUGGUUGCCAGUUCACUCUAAUGAUUGUUUCCUUUGCUGUAUAGAAGCUCUGGAGUUUAAUUAGAUCCCCUUUGUCUAUUUUGGCUUUUGUUGCCAAUGCUUUUGGUGUUUUAGUCAUGAAGUCCUUGCCUAUGCCUAUGUCCUGAAUGGUUUUGCCUAGGUUUUCUUCUAGGGUUUUUAUAGUGUUAGGCCUUAUGUUUAAGUCUUUAAUCCAUCUGGAGUUAAUUUUAGUGUACGGUGUCAGAAAGGGGUCCAGUUUCUGCUUUCUGCACAUGGCUAGCCGGUUUUUUCAACACCAUUUAUUCAACAGGGAAUCCUUUCCCCAUUGCUUGUUUUUGUUGGGUCUGUCAAAGAUCAGAUGGUUGUAGAUGUGUGGCAUUGCCUCUGAGGCCUCUAUUCUGUUCUGUUGGUCUAUAUCUCUGUUUUGGUACCAGUACCAUGCUGUUUUGAUUACUGUAGCCUUGUAGUAUAGUUUGAAGUCAGGUAGUGUGAUGCUUCCAGCUUUGUUCUUUUUGCUUAGAAUUGUCUUGGCUAUGUGGGCUCUCUUUUGGUUCCAUAUGAAGUUUAAGGUGGCUUUUUUCCAGUUCUGUGAAGAGGGUCAUAGGUAUCUUGAUGAGGAUAGUGUUGAAUCUAUAAAUUACUUUGUGCAGUAUGGCCAUUUUCACGAUCUUGAUUCUUUCUAACCAUGAGCAUGGAAUGUUCUUCCAUCUGUUUGUGUCCUCUCUUAUUUCGUUGAGCAGUGGUUUGUAGUUCUUGUUGAGGAGGACCUUUACAUCCUUUGUUAGUUGUAUUCCUAGGUAUUUUAUUCUCUUUGUAGCAAUUGUGAAUGGCAUUUCUUGAUUUGGCUCUCUUUAAGUCUGUUAUUGGUGUAUAGAAAUGCUUGUGAUUUCUGCACACUGAUUUUGUAUCCUGAGACUUUGCUGAAGUUGCUUAUGAGUUUCAGGAGAUUUUGGGCUGAGAUGAUAGGGUCUUCUAAAUAUACAAUCAUGUCAUCUGCAGAUAGAGAUGAUUUGACUUCCUCCUUUUCUAAUUGAAUACCCUUUAUUUCUUUCUCUUGCCUGAAUCCUCUGUCUAGAACUUCCAAUACUAUAUUGAAUAGGAGUGGUGAGAGAGGACAUCUUUGUCUAGUGCCAGAUUUCAAAGGGAAUGCUUCCAGUUUUUGCCCAUUCAGUAUGAUAUUGGCUGUGGGUUUGUCAUAAAUAGCUUUUAUUAUUUUGAGAUACGUUCCAUCAAUAACCUAGUUUAUUGAGAGUUUUUAGCAUAAAGGGCUGUUGAAUUUUUUCAAAGGCCUUCUCUGCAUCUAUUGAGAUAAUCAUGUGGUUUUUAUCUUCGGUUCUGUUUCUGUGGUGGAUUAUAUUUAUAAACUUGCAUAUGUUGAACCAGCCUUGCAUCCCCGGGAUAAAGCCUACUUGAUUGUGAUGGAUAAGCUUUUUGAUGUGCUGUUGCAAUUGGUUUGCCAGUAUUUUAUUGAAGAUUUUUGCAUCUAUGUUCAACAUGGAUACUGGCCUGAAGUUUUCUUGUUUUUGGUGAGUCUCUGCCCAGUUUUGGUAACAGGAUGAUGUUGGUCUCAUAAAAUGAUUUGGGAAGGAGUCCCUCUUUUUGGAUUGUUUGGAAUAGUUUCAGAAGGAAUGGUACCAGCUCAUGUUUGUAUGUCUGGUAGAAUUCAGCUGUGAACCCAUCUGGACCUGGGCUUUUUUUGGGUGGUAGGCUCUUAAUUGCUGCCUCAACUUCAGUCCUUGUUAUUGGUCUAGUCAGGGUUUUGACUUCUUCCUGGUUUAGGCUUGGAAGGGUGCAAGUGUCCAGGAAUUUAUCCAUUUUUUCCAGGUUUACUGGUUUGUGUGCAUAGAGUUCUCUGUAGUAAUCUCUGAUAGUAGUUUGUAUUUUUGUGGGGUCGGUGGUGAUAUCCCCUUUAUCAGUUCUUACUGCAUCGAUUUGAUUCUUCUUUCUUUUUUAUUAAUCUGGCUAGUGGUUUGUCUAUUUUGUUGAUCUUUUCAAAAAACCAGAUCCUGAAUUUAUUGAUUUUUUUGAAGGGUUUUUUUGUGUUUCUGUCUCCUUCAGUUCUGCUCUGAUCUGUUAUUUCUUGUCUUCUGCUAGCUUUUGAGUUUCUUUGAUCUUGCUCCUCUAGCUCUUUCCAUUUUGACGAUAUGUGCGGGAGUCUCAGUCUCUUUGUAGGUCGUUAAAAACUUGCUUUAUGUAUCUGGGUGCUCCUGUGUUGGGUGCGUAUAUAUUUAGGAUCAUUAGCUCUUCUUGUUGCAUUAAUCACUUUACCAUUAUGUAAUGCCCUUCUUGGUCUCUUUUGAUCUUUGUUGGUUUAAAGUCUAUUUAAUCAGAGACUAGGAUUGCAACUCCUGCUUUUUUUUGCUCUCCAUUUGCUUGGUAAAUCUUCCUCCAUCCCUUUAUUUUGAGCCUAUGUAUGUCCUUGCAUGUGAGAUGGGUUUCCUGGAUACAGCACACCAAUGGGUUUUGGCUUUUUAUCCAAUUUGCCAGUGUGUGUUUUUUGAUUGGGGCAUUUUUAGCCCAUUUACAUUUAAGGUUAAUAUUGUUCUGUGUGAAUUUGAUCCUGCCAUUUUGAUGCUAGCUGGUUGUUUUGCCUGUUAGUUGACACAGUUUCUUCAUGGUUUCAAUGCUUUUUACCAUUUGGUAUGUUUUUGGAGUGGCUGGUACUGGUUAUUCCUUUCUAUGUUUAGUACUUCUUUCAGGCAGGCCUGGUGAUCAUGAAAUCUCUCAGCAAUUGCUUGUUUAUAAAUAAUUGUAUUUCUUCUUUGCUUAUGAAGCUUAGUUUGGCUGGAUGUGAAAUUAUAGGUUGAAAGUUUUUUUCUUUAAGGACGUUGAAUAUUGGCCCUCACUCUCUUCUGGCUCGUAGGGUUUCUGCUGAGAGAUCUGCUGUCAGUCUGACUUUCUUCCCUUUGUGGGUAACCUGACCUUUCUCUCUGGCUGCCCUUAGCAUUUUUUUUUCUUCAUUUCAACCCUUGUGAAUCUGAUGAUUAUGUGCCUUGGGGUUGCUCUUCCUCAGGAAUAUAUUUGUGGUGUUCUCUAUGUUUCCUGGACUUGAAUAUUGGCCUGUCUUGCUAGGUUGGGGAUGUUCUUCUGGAUAAUAUCCUGAAGAGUGUUUUUCAGCUUGGAUUCCUUCUCUCUGUCACAUUCAGGUACACCUAUGAAACGUACAUUAGGUCUUUUCACACAAUCCCAUAUUUCUUGUAGGCUUUGUUCAUUUCUUUUUACUCUUUUUUUCUUUAAUCUUGCCUUCUUUAUUUCAUUGAGUUGAUCUUCAACCUCUGAUAUCCUUUCUUUUGCUUGGUUGAUUCGGCUAUUGAAACUUGUGUAUGCUUCACAAAGUUCUCGUGUUGUGUUUUCAGCUCCAUGAAGUCAUUUAUAUUCUUCUCUAAGCUGUUUAUUCUUAUUAGCAUUUCAUCAAACCUUUUUUCAAGGUUCUUAGUUUCUUUGCAUUGGGUUAGAACAUGUUCUUUUAACUCAGAGAAGUUUGUUUUUACCCACCUUCUGAAGUCUUUGCCAAUUCAUCAGACUCAUUCUCCAUCCAGCUUUGUUCCUUUGCUGGUGAUGAGUUGUAAUCCCUUGGAGGAAAGGUGUUCUGGUUUUGGGUGUUUUCAUCCUUUUUGCACUGGUUUCUUCCCAUCUUUGUGGAUUUCGCUACCUGUGGUCUUUGUAGUUGUUGACUUUCAGAUGGGGUCUCUGAGUGGACAUCGUUUUUGUUGAUGAUGAAGUUAUUUCUUUCUGUUUUUUACUUUUCCUUCUAACAGUCAGAACCCUCUGCUGUAGGGCUGCUGGAGGUCCACUCCAGACCCUGCUUGCCUGGGGAUCACCUGCAGUGGCUACAGAACAGUACUGGUUGCUGCCAGUUUCUUUUUCUGUUAUCUUCGUCCCAGAAGGAUACCUGCUAGAUGUCAGCCUGAGCUCUCCUUUAUGAGGUGACUCUUUGGGUAUAUGGGGGUCAGGAAGCUGCUUGAGGAGGCAGUCUGUCCCUUAUAGGAGCUCAAAUGCUGAGCUGUGACCUCCAUUGUUCUGUUCAGAGCUGCUGGGCAGGUACAUUUUUGUCUGCUGCAGCAGAACUCAUAACUGCCUUUUUUCCCAGGUGCUCUGUCCCGGGAAGGUGGGGCUUUAUUUUUAAGUUACUGACAUGCUGCUGCCUUUUUUCAGAGAUGCCCUGCCCAGCAAGGAGGUAGCCUAGUCACAUUCUGCCAGCAGAAGCAUUGCUGAGCUGCCGUGGGCUUUGCCCAGCUGCUGUUUGCACUUCCUUGUAGCUUUGUUUAUAGAGGUAUAGUUAGAACUGCCUCAGUAAUGGUGAAUUGCCUCUGUAAUGGCGGACUGCCUGGCUAAUGGUAGACUGUCUCAGUAAUGGUGGACUGCCUCGGUAGUGGUUGACUGCCUUGAUAAUGGCAGAUGCCCUUCCCUCCACCAGAGCUGGACCAUCCCGGGUCCAGCUGCGCUUGCUGUGAAACUCUCAAUCCAGAGCAUUUCAGAUUGCUAGUCUUUGUGGGGGUGGGAUCCGCUGAGCCAGAUCACCUGGCUCCCUUUAUCAACCUUCUUUUUUUUUCAGUUGAAUGGGUGGCUCUGUCCCCCAGGUGUUCCAGGUGCCAGUUGAAAUGGCUGCCCAGAUUUGUGUGAGUUUUUGUGCAGAGACCCACUGCGCUGGCUGAAACAGCCGUGCUGGAAACUCAUGGUGCUUUUCAGCCUGGGAAUCUCUUGGUCUGUGGACAGUAAUAACUCGUUUUCAAAUGCGGUGUUCACUCACCCUCUGCGUUGUUCUGUCUGGGAACUGCGCUCCAGAACUGUUCCUAUUCGGCCAUCUUGGAUCCCUCCUGCAUCUUCUUUUAAAGGCUUUGUUCUUCAGGUGGAGUAUUCUUUUUACUGUUCUGCUAAUAUUGUCCAUAUUCAAGUCUAGACAGCAGAUGCAUUGGCUUUCGAUUAGAAGAUUUUCAGAAUUUAUGCUGUAUAAGCAAGAGGUUCUUUUAUUUUUUAUUAUUUUCUUCUUCUUCUUUUUUUUUUUUGGGACAGAGUUUCAUUGUUAUUACCCAGGCUGGCACGAUCUCGGCGCACUGCGACCUCCACCUCCUGGGUUCAGGCAAUUCUCCUGCCUCAGCCUCCUGAGUAGCUGGGACUACAGGUGUGCCCCACCAUGCCCAGCUAAUUUUUGUAUUUUUAGUAGAGAGGGGGUUUCACCUUGUUGACCAGGAUGGUCUUGAUCUCUUGACCUCGUGAUCCACCUGCCUCAGCCUCCCAAAGUGCUGGGAUUAUAGGCGUGAGUCACUGCGCCUGGCAGGUUCUUUUAUUUUUAAUACACGUGGGUAUUUCCUCAUAUUAUUUUAGGAAAAUAUGUAUCACCUCCUCUUCUUUUUAGUUUCUGGAGCCGGGAGCCUGGCUUCCCUCUCUUUGCUUAAUGCUGCAGCUGUGCAGGCCCCAAUCAUCUGCCCUGAGGCCCUGGCACUGCGCUGCUCCCCUCAUACCAGGUUAAGUCUUACUGCCUGUGAGAAUUUUUAAGAAGUUCUUUUCUCUAGAAAUGGAAUAAUAGGAACACAUAGUGAUAUAGUUUGGCUGUGUCCCCACCAGAAUCCUAUCUUGAAUUGUAGUUCCCAUAAUCCCCACGUGUUGUAGGAGGGGCCUGGUGGGAGGUAGUUGAAUCAUGGGGGUGGUUACCUCCAUCCUGUUCUCAUGACAGUGAGUUCUCACAAGAUCUGAUGGUUUUUUAAGGGGAUUUUCCCUACCUUCGCUCUGCAUGUCUUGCUGCCACCACAUGAAGAAGGAUGUGUUUGCUUCCCUUUCCUUCAUGAUUUUGAGUGUCCUGAGGUCUCCCCAGCCCUGAGGAACUGUGAGCCAAUUAAACCUCUUUCCUUUAUAACCUCUUUCCUUUCCUUUCCUCGGUCUUGGGUAUUUCUUCAUAGCAGUGUGAGAACAGACUAAUACAAAUAGAUUAUGCUCUUUGGUCUUGACAUAGAGGCAUCUAGGAUCAUAGCAGAGCCCCUCUUUAUUGCUUGAAAGAUUCUGUUUUGGGGCCCAUCACUACCCUGAUGGCUGGCUGCAUCUAGAACACAGGAAGAAAGAGUUGCCUUCAAGGACAUGCAAUUGCCAGGAAAAGAGCAAGAAUGUAAAACAUAAAGAGGUUGAAAUGAGUUUGUGAAGUCACUAAGAACAAUGUAGUACAGGUGGAAUGAACUCCUUGGAGAUGUGACUCUCAGCGGGGAGAGCCCUUUGUUCAUUUGCCCUAUGGACAGCAUAUUGUAUACCAGUGCUUCAAAGGGUGCCUGGGCAUACCAGGGUUCCCCAAGACCUUUUAGGGGUAUGCGACAUCAAAUUCACUUCGAGAAUAGUGCCAGGAUGUUAUUUGCCUUUUUAAUUUUAAUUCUUUCACAAAUAUAUGGUGGAGUUUUCCAGAAGCUAUUCCAUAUGUGGUAUUAUAGCAAAUGAAUAAGCAGAUAUGAGAAAUCAGAUGUCUUAAGCCAGUUAGUAGAGAUUCUCAGGAAUAUAAAACAAUGUCAUGUUAAUCAUCUAAAUGUGGGGGUUUUUUUUUGGUUUAGAAAAAUAGUUAUUUUUUAUAAAGAAUUUGUGAAUUAAUUGGGUUAUUAUGGUAAUGUUUAAAUAAAUAGAUUUUAAAUUCCUCAGCUUUAAUUUCUAAAACUAUAAAUAUGAUAGGUAUAAUCCUGAUAAACAAAAACUCUUUUUCAUCCUUAAUGAUUUUUUAAGACUGUAAAGGAAGCCAGGCAAGGUGGCUUGCAUCUGUAAUCCCAGCGCUAUGGGAGGCUGAAGUGGGAGGAUUGCUUGAGCAUAGUAAAACACAAUUUCGACAAACAACAUGACAACAACAACAAAAACUCAGACUGUAAAGGAAUCCUGAGAUCAGUUUGAGAGCUGCAUGUCUCGUGGGUAAGCACCCAGGCUCUGGAGUGAGCAUGCUUGGUUCGAAUCAUGAUCUUAGGCAAGUUACUUGACUAGAGACUUAAUUUCCUUAUCAGUAAACUAGGCUAUUUCAUACAGUUAUUGUGAGCAACACAUGAAACAAUAUAUUAUUCAUUAUUUCACAAACAAUCAUUUCAUAAAUAUUAUUUCAUCAAGUAAUUUAUUGAAUACUGCAUCAAUGUAUAAAAAACCCUGUGGUUCCUGCUUUGAAGGAUGUAAAAUGACACAAGCUACAGCUCCUACUGGUAAGUAGUUUUUUGUCAAGGGCAAGAUUUCUGGAUUUGUAAUUAGCACCUUUGGGUUCAAUUCCCAGCUCCACCCUUUAUUAACUGAUCUGACCUUCAGCACAUCACUUGUUCUUGGGUAAGGUCAGAUCUUAAAGACCAUCUUCGAUGGUCCACAGAGAAGAUGGUAAAUUCCCCUUGCAUCUUUGAAGCAUCAUUGCCUCCUGCUUCAGUUUAACAACUGCUUUUGACCUUCCCUUUGAAAAUGACACUACAUCGCCUUUCCUCCCAAGCUACUGUAACCAUGCCACUAGAGGGCACCUCCUGUCUUCUCAGCCAGUCAUUCGCAGCUUCCUCUAAUUUGGAAAUGUUCUUUCAGCUGAGAUGAGUGAGUGGUAACUUAAGAUUUGAUGUCUUUAGGAUUUCCUCAGCUUGAUGGGUGUGGACUCCAAAGACGAGAGGAGGCAAGGAGGUAAAGAAGAUAUUGAAGAAUAUCAUCUGCCAGUAAUCGAUCAUGGUGGAGCCGGAGAAACCACAGAAGAAUUGAUACCAGAAGAGCAGGUUGACAUAGCACUGCAGGCAAAGAGCAUGGCCUUAUGAGUCAGACCCUGUGUGCAGCCGGUCACCAGCUGCUGCCGCCUGGGAGCUACUGGAGUGGCGGUUUCCUCAUUCCUCACGCAGGGUUAUGUAAGGAUUAGAGAUAAUUCUAAUCCUCAGAGCAGUAGCUGCUGCUGUUACUACUAUCACUGCUAACAUUCUUCAGGACCUGAAGGAAACUCCACCAACUUGUUUAAGGUGAGUGAACAGUAAGUCUUCACUUAACAUUGCCAAUAAGUUCUUAGAAACUACAACUUCAAGCAAAAUAAUGUAGGGAAAGUUCUGGAAUAAUUGUUUCAUUCAACAUCACAGUUUCUAAGAACCUACUGAUGACACUAAGUGAGGACUUACUGUACUAUGGUGGUUAAAAGUACAGAUUUUGGAGGCAGAGAGGCCUCGUUUUGAAUCCCCAGUCUGGCACUUACCAGCUGUGUGACCUUAGACAAACUGCUUAACCUUUCUAAACAUUUUAUCAUCUGUCAGCUGGGAAUAGCAGUGCUUAGACCAUGGCAUGUGAAGUAUGAAUGGUGGUAGAGUGGUAAUAGAAAGGGAUGUCACUCAUGAAGGGGUAAUAGAAAGACUAAACCGUGAGCAGGACACCUGGUAGGAGGAUGACCUCAUGAGAAGGUUGACUUCGCUAUACUUUCCUGAUGGUCACACAGCUCAGAAGGGUGAAUGAGAAAAUCUGCCAAAACAUUGUUCAUUUUUUUCUAGAGCUUUUUCCCACUCAAGAUCUCCUCUCUUGUGGAUGGGCUGGGUCACUGUUAUUGUCUACCAUUUUGAGAUAUGGUUUGGUGAUUUGAUCAAGGUCAUACAUAUAAGCAGCUGGUCCAGCAGUUAGGACUAGAACUUCUCAAUUAUGUGGGGCAGAGGCACAGAGAUCUGACGGGUCUUUCAAGGAAUCAUCCAGCAGUUUUGUGUUCAAGCUGGAACUCCUAUUUCUAAACUGCUGGGUCAAUGUUAUUUUGGAGGGGCUAUUAGUAGUAGUAACAUCAGUUAUAAAAUUUGACCUUCUAUAUGUGCCAGGAGUGAGAUAAACAUCAGUAUAUUAGCAUCUAAUAUAUCAUUGGAUGUGCAAUACACACGAUAGUUUGUUCUAACAACCUUGCCAGAUUAAUAUUGCUGAGCUGAUAGUACUAUAUAUUGUACAAAUAUAUCAUAUAUUGAUAUUAACAAUAAUAUUAACAUUAUUAGGCCCAUUUUACAGAUGAGGAAUCCAAGACUCUGAGAUACUGUUGCCUCUUGCCCAAAUUCAGAGCUAGAGAGUGGUACAAUCGGCAUCUGAAAUUUCAAAGUUCUUUCUCCCUAACCACCUCUAAACUUUCUCAGUCCUGCCUUGACUUACACAAUCAGACUCUUCUAGACCUGUACCGCCUGCAAAGCUGAAAGUAAUUAUUGUCUAGUUCUUUGAAGAAAAAGCUUCCUGAGCCCAGAUGUAGACAGGAAGCCUCACAUGGGCCAUGAUUGGCUUGAUUCCUGCUCUAUGCCCAUUGCUCAGCCCUGUUCCUGACACACAGCAGACACUGAAUUGUUGUUUCAAUUGAUGUAGUUGAUCUUAGCUCUAUUCUAACACUCAUCCUGGAGUUUUAACAUUACAGAGUGCUUCUUUCCUCCUGAGGCCCUGGUAAGAUCUUGCUUGAUUUUCACUUCUGCUUAACUGGAAUCUUUGUACCUUGCAGGGACUGCAUCGAGCCCUGUGGCAGCAUCGCUGAGACUGGACGCCUGCUCUUUCUAUCAAGAAGCUACAGUGCAGUAAUUAAUUCAUUGUUCAAAUUUCAGAGCAGGCCAGGUUUUAAUCCCCUCUGAAAUUGGUUUCGGAUGUGGAAGUCAUAGUUCUCCACCUUCUAAUUACAACAGGGAGAUAAUGUGGCAUCAGUAUCGCAAUUUUGAGCAUGGCAUUGGGCUGGAAAUAAAUAUCAUUUAAGCUUUGAAA